rnacentral:rRNA from 1 species
AGCGAACGCUGGCGGCAGGCCUAACACAUGCAAGUCGAACGGAUCCUUCGGGAUUAGUGGCGGACGGGUGAGUAACACGUGGGAACGUACCUUUUGGUUCGGAACAACACAGGGAAACUUGUGCUAAUACCGGAUAAGCCCUUACGGGGAAAGAUUUAUCGCCGAAAGAUCGGCCCGCGUCUGAUUAGCUAGUUGGUGAGGUAACGGCUCACCAAGGCGACGAUCAGUAGCUGGUCUGAGAGGAUGAUCAGCCACACUGGGACUGAGACACGGCCCAGACUCCUACGGGAGGCAGCAGUGGGGAAUAUUGGGCAAUGGGCGCAAGCCUGAUCCAGCCAUGCCGCGUGAGUGAUGAAGGCCUUAGGGUCGUAAAGCUCUUUUAACGGGGAAGAUAAUGACGGUACCCGUAGAAUAAGCCCCGGCUAACUUCGUGCCAGCCGCCGCGGUAAUAC